rnacentral:rRNA from 1 species
GAGUGGCGCACGGGUGAGUAACGCGUGGGUAAUCUGCCUUCGAACCGGGGAUAACACUUCGAAAGGGGUGCUAAUACCGGAUGACAUCCAAGUGUCUUCGGGCGCCUGGAUCAAAGAUGGCCUCUCCAUGGAAGCUGUUGUUCGAAGAUGAGCCCGCGUCCCAUUAGCUUGUUGGUGGGGUAAAGGCCCACCAAGGCGACGAUGGGUAGCUGGUCUGAGAGGAUGAUCAGCCACACUGGCACUGACACACGGGCCAGACUCCUACGGGAGGCAGCAGUGAGGAAUUUUGCGCAAUGGGGGUAACCCUGACGCAGCAACGCCGCGUGAGUGAAGAAGGCCUUCGGGUCGUAAAGCUCUGUCGAGUGGGAAGAACCCGCAUCAGGUGACAAGGCUGAUGCGCUGACGGUACCACUGGAGGAAGCACCGGCUAACUCCGUGCCAGCAGCCGCGGUAAUACGGAGGGUGCAAGCGUUAUUCGGAAUUACUGGGCGUAAAGGGCGCGCAGGCGGCCUGGUAAGUCAGUAGUGAAAGCCCGGGGCUCAACCCCGGAAGUGCUGCUGAAACUGUUGGGCUUGAGUAUGGUAGAGGGAAGCGGAAUUCCUGGUGUAGCGGUGAAAUGCGUAGAUAUCAGGAGGAACACCGGUGGCGAAGGCGGCUUCCUGGACCAAUACUGACGCUGAGGCGCGAAGGCGUGGGUAGCAAACAGGAUUAGAUACCCUGGUAGUCCACGCAGUUAACCGGUGAUCACUAGGUGUUGCGGGUAUUGAUACUUGCAGUGCCGGGAGCUAACGCAUUAAGUGAUGCUCCUGGUGAGUGCGGCGGCAAGGUUAAUACUCUAAGGAAUUGUCGGGGGCCCGCACAAGCGGUGGAGCAUGUGGUUUAUUUUGACGCAACGCGAAGAACCUUGCGUGGGUUUGUCAUCUGGGGGAUCCCAUGGAAACAUGAGGGGUUCCCUUCGGGGAGCCCCAAGACAGGUGCUGCAUGGCUGUCGUCAGCUCGAUGUCGUGAGAUGUUGGGUUAAGUCGCGCAACGAGCGCAACCCCUGUCUUCAGUUACCAGCGAUUCGGUGGGGGACUCUGAAGAUACUGCCCCGCUUAACGGGGAGGAAGGUGGGGAUGACGUCAAGUCCUCAUGGCCUUUAUGCCCAGGGCUACACACGUGCUACAAUGGGCGGUACAGAGGGUAGCGAGAUCGCGAGGUGGAGCCAAUCCCAAAAAGCCGUCCUCAGUUCGGAUUGGAGUCUGCAACUCGACUCCAUGAAGUUGGAAUCGCUAGUAAUCGCGGAUCAGCUAUGCCGCGGUGUAUACGUCCCGGGCCUGUACUACACCGCCCGUCACACCAUGAGAGUUGGCUAUACCC